rnacentral:rRNA from 1 species
UACGUAGGGGGCAAGCGUUGUCCGGAUUUAUUGGGCGUAAAGAGCGUGUAGGCGGCCAUUCAGGUCAGCUGUGAAAACUCGAGGCUCAACCUCGAGACGUCGGUUGAAACCGUUUGGCUAGAGUCCGGAAGAGGAGAGUGGAAUUCCCGGUGUAGCGGUGAAAUGCGCAGAUAUCGGGAAGAACACCCGUGGCGAAGGCGGCUCUCUGGGACGGUACUGACGCUGAGACGCGAAAGCGUGGGGAGCGAACAGG